UACAGAGGGUGCUAGCGUUGUUCGGAAUCAUUGGGCGUAAAGGGCGUGUAGGCGGUUUGUUAAGUCAUGUGUGAAAUCCCUCGGCUCAACCGGGGAACGACGCAUGAAACUGGCAAGCUAGAGUACCAAAGAGGGGGGUGGAAUUCCCGGUGUAGCGGUGAAAUUCGUAGAUAUGGGGUGGAACACCGGUGGCGAAGGCGGCCAUCUGGACGACAACUGACGCUGAGACGCGAAAGCGUGGGGAGCAAACAGG
rnacentral:rRNA from 1 species